AAUAGAUACCCGGGUAGUCCAUGCCGUAAACGUUGGGAACUAGAUGUAGGGACCAUUCCACGGUUUCUGUGUCGCAGCUAACGUAUUAAGUUCCCCGCCUGGGGAGUACGGCCGCAAGGCUAAAACUCAAAGGAAUUGACGGGGGCCCGCACAAGCGGCGGAGCAUGCGGAUUAAUUCGAUGCAACGCGAAGAACCUUACCAAGGCUUGACAUAUACCGGAAAAGUUCAGAAAUGUUCUCCCGCAAGGUCGGUAUACAGGUGGUGCAUGGUUGUCGUCAGCUCGUGUCGUGAGAUGUUGGGUUAAGUCCCGCAACGAGCGCAACCCUCGUUCUAUGUUGCCAGCACGUAAUGGUGGGAACUCAUAGGAGACUGCCGGGGUCAACUCGGAGGAAGGUGGGGAUGACGUCAAAUCAUCAUGCCCCUUAUGUCUUGGGCUUCACGCAUGCUACAAUGGCCGAUACAAAGGGCUGCAAUCCGUAAGGUGGAGCGAAUCCCAAAAAGUCGGUCUCAGUUCGGAUUGAGGUCUGCAACUCGA
rnacentral:rRNA from 1 species